UACGUAGGGUGCGAGCGUUAAUCGGAAUUACUGGGCGUAAAGCGUGCGCAGGCGGCGCGUUAAGACAGGUGUGAAAGCCCCGAGCUUAACUUGGGAAUUGCGCUUGUGACUGGCGUGCUGGAGUGUGGCAGAGGGAGGUGGAAUUCCACGUGUAGCAGUGAAAUGCGUAGAGAUGUGGAGGAACACCGAUGGCGAAGGCAGCCUCCUGGGCCAGCACCGACGCUCAUGCACGAAAGCGUGGGGAGCAAACAGG
rnacentral:rRNA from 1 species